rnacentral:tRNA from 1 species
GUAGAGAUGCCAGAAUUAUAUGGGAUUAAUUUAGGAUUAAUUUAUGGCUUUUAAGUCUCUCUAUG